rnacentral:tRNA from 1 species
GGAAAUGUAGCUCAGUGGUGCAGUACCUGCUUGGUAAGCACAAGGCCCUGAGUUCGAUUCCCAGUACCA